rnacentral:rRNA from 1 species
AGAGUUUGAUCAUGGCUCAGGACGAACGCUGGCGGCGUGCUUAACACAUGCAAGUCGAGCGGAAAGGCUCCUUCGGGGGUACUCGAGCGGCGAACGGGUGAGUAACACGUGAGUAAUCUGCCCUUGGCUUUGGGAUAACUACCGGAAACGGUGGCUAAUACCGGAUACGACCACUCCUUGCAGGAGGUGGUGGUGGAAAGUUUUUCGGCCAGGGAUGUGCUCGCGGCCUAUCAGCUUGUUGGUGGGGUAAUGGCCUACCAAGGCUUCGACGGGUAGCCGGCCUGAGAGGGUGACCGGCCACACUGGGACUGAGACACGGCCCAGACUCCUACGGGAGGCAGCAGUGGGGAAUAUUGGACAAUGGGCGGAAGCCUGAUCCAGCAACGCCGCGUGAGGGAUGACGGCCUUCGGGUUGUAAACCUCUUUCAGUACCGACGAAGCGCCGAUGAUGGUGGUGACGGUAGGUACAGAAGAAGCACCGGCCAACUACGUG